rnacentral:rRNA from 1 species
UACGUAGGGGGCGAGCGUUACCCGGAAUUACUGGGCGUAAAGGGGGCGUAGGCGGCCCGGCAAGUCAAGUGUGAAAUCCGGCGGCUCAACCGCUGGGCUGCGCUUGAAACUGCCGGGCUUGAGUGCAGCAGAGGGAGACGGAAUUGCCGGUGUAGGGGUGAAAUCCGUAGAUAUCAGCAGGAACGCCGGUGGAGAAGUCGGUCUGCUGGGCCGUAACCGACGCUGAGGCACGAAAGCUAGGGGAGCGAACCGG